rnacentral:rRNA from 1 species
GACGAACGCUGGCGGCGUGCUUAACACAUGCAAGUCGAGCGAUGAGCCUUUCAUGAAUUUUUCGGAAUGAUUGGAAGAGGAUUAGCGGCGGACGGGUGAGUAACGCGUGAGCAACCUGCCUUAAACAACGGGAUAGCCUCGGGAAACCGGGAUUAAUACCGUAUGAGACCCCGCCUUCACAUGAAGAAGAGGUUAAAGAUUUAUCGGUUUAAGAUGGGCUCGCGUCUGAUUAGCUAGUUGGUGAGAUAAAAGCCCACCAAGGCAACGAUCAGUAACCGGCUUGAGAGAGUGAACGGUCACAUUGGAACUGAGACACGGUCCAAACUCCUACGGGAGGCAGCAGUGGGGAAUAUUGCACAAUGAGGGAAACCCUGAUGCAGCGACGCCGCGUGAGCGAUGAAGGAAUUCGUUUCGUAAAGCUCUGUCCAAGGGGAAGAUAAUGACAGUACCCUUGGAGGAAGCCCCGGCUAAAUACGUGCCAGCCGCCGCAGUAACAC